AUACUCCCAUGGUGGAGGAGACAUCAUGGUCAGGAAGGUAGUUUUCCCAGGGUGAGGCUCACCCAUUGCCCUUGGCCUGUGCUGAGCCCUGCAAUUUCCCCAAAUGCAAGGAACUCGACUACAUCACUUGUGUUAGUGGCAGACUGUGCUCACACUUUCUCUUG